rnacentral:rRNA from 1 species
GAUGAACGCUGGCGGCGUGCUUAACACAUGCAAGUCGAACGAAGCACUUUAAUCGAUUUCUUCGGAUUGAAAUUUUAGUGACUGGGUGGCGGACGGGUGAGUAACGCGUGGGUAACCUGCCUCACACAGGGGGAUAACAGUUGGAAACGGCUGCUAAUACCGCAUAAGCGCACAGUACCGCAUGGUACGGUGUGAAAAACUCUGGUGGUGUGAGAUGGACCCGCGUCUGAUUAGCUAGUUGGCAGGGUAACGGCCUACCAAGGCGACGAUCAGUAGCCGACCUGAGAGGGUGACCGGCCACAUUGGGACUGAGACACGGCCCAAACUCCUACGGGGGGCAGCAGUGGGGAAUAUUGCACAAUGGGGGAAACCCUGAUGCAGCGACGCCGCGUGAGCGAAGAAGUAUUUCGGUAUGUAAAGCUCUAUCAGCAGGGAAGAAGAAAUGACGGUACCUGACUAAGAAGCACCGGCUAAAUACGUGCCAGCCGCCGCGGUAA